GUACGGGGGGGGCAAGCGGUUGUUCGGAAUUACUGGGCGUAAAGGGCUCGUAGGCGGCCAACUAAGUCAGACGUGAAAUCCCCCGGCUUAACCUGGGAACUGCGUCUGAUACUGGGAGGCUUGAGUAUGGGAGAGGGAUGUAGAAUUCCAGGUGUAGCGGUGAAAUGCGUAGAUAUCUGGAGGAAUACCGGUGGCGAAGGCGGCAUCCUGGACCAUUACUGACGCUGAGGCGCGAAAGCUAGGGGAGCAAACGGG
rnacentral:rRNA from 1 species